rnacentral:rRNA from 1 species
GUCAGCAGCCGCGGUAAUACCGGCGGCUCGAGUGGUGGCCACUUUAUUGGGCUUAAAGCGUUCGUAGCUGGGUUAUUAAGUCCCUUGGGAAAUCCGACAGCUUAACUGUCGGGCGUCUAAGAGGAUACUGGUAAUCUUGGAACCGGGAGAGGUGAGGGGGUACUUCGGGGGUAGGAGUGAAAUCCUGGUAAUCCUCGAGGGACCACCUGUGGCGAAGGCGCCUCACCAGAACGGCUUCGACAGUGAGGGACGAAAGCUGGGGGAGCAAACCGGAUUAGAUACCCGGGUAGUCCCAGCCGUAAACGAUGUGCGUUAGGUGUAUCGGUGACCACGAGUCACCGAGGUGCCGAAGGGAAACCGUGAAACGUACCGCCUGGGAAGUACGGUCGCAAGGCUGAAACUUAAAGGAAUUGGCGGGGGAGCACCACAACAGGUGGAGCCUUGCGGUUUAAUUGGACUCAACGCCGGAAAUCUCACCGGAUAAGACAGCAGAAUGAUUGCCGGGCUGAAGACUCUGCAUGACUAGCUGAGGGGAGGUGCAUGG